AUGUACUUGUUGAUACUUUGAUUGGUAUUCACAUGAGAAAAAUUCUCAGUGUUGCCUAUUGGUAAAGAUACGUAAACUUUGUUGCUUUGUCCGCUGUUACAUUGGGGUAUGUUCCCAUAAGUCAAAGAUAUAAAACGCUGUCCUGUGCCUUGAAUAAACGGAGCCUCACCAUCUUGUCUCCCUGCCUCUUACUGCUCUGCGCAGGUUAUCAGGAACUAAGCUGGUACUUAGAAUUCCUGGGAGAGUCUAAGACUCUCACAGCCACUGAGCUGGACGUGGAUGAGAGCAACAACUGGCACUCAACAUGGGGCUGCACUGCUGCCGUGAAGCUGAUCAGGGGCUGCGGAGAGUAAGACGGCUGCAUGAAACAGUCGGGAAUCAUCUGGACAAAGAUGCAACACCCACUCAGACACCGAGUUCUGUUGGAGCCAGGGAGGACCUGACCAGUAGCUGUUGAAAGACUACAGGUGAUGGAGAACUUUGGGUCAGAACAAAGGAUGUCCACGUCAUCCAUUGAGAAGGAAGAAGGCAAGCAGAAGAGAAAACACAGGUUGGCCAGGAAUCAAAGGAGUCGAAAGAAUAAGAAGGCAGCACUACAUGAACUUGUAACCAAGCUUUGACUCUUGUUAUUGUCAGCAGUGGUACAGAACACAGAAGCAGAGACAGGAAAUACAACAAGAUGGAAUUUUGUGACAAAAUCACCAUGGCUAAGACUGGCUAUAUGAGGAGAGACAAUACCUGAGGUUAUUUUACAAAGGAUUGCAUCUGCAGGAUGGGGGAAGGAAUUUAACUUUACACCUCAAAAGAAUGGUAUCAUACUAGGGCUGAGCAUAUUUUUGGUAUUAUAGAACACAAAAGUGACUUAGUUUUAAGAAGACAAAAGAAGUGUAUUUCUUGCGUUGUUUUGGGCAUUGUUUCAUUAAUAGCUUUGAUUUCUUCUACUGUCUCUAUAGCACUGUCGAUUUCCACUGUUCAAAAUGAAAUUGUCCAAGUUGAAUUUUUGAAUGAACUUGCAAAAAAUGUAUCUAUAGGCUUUGCUACACAAAAACAUAUUGAUACUAACUUUUAUCACAUCUUAGAGGGUAUGAAAGAAACAAUAAUUGAAAUAGGUGAUGAACUGGAUAUUCUUGAAUAUCGUACUCAUUUGCAAUGUGAUCAUAGGUUUCAAUUUAUGUGUCUUACCAAUGUAGUGUAUAAUUCAUCUCGAUGGGACUGGAUGAGGAUACAUAGACAUUUGUAUGGAUUGUUUGAAAAUUCUACAUUGUCAUUGGACAUAGAUGAGUUAUAUCACAUUGCUCAAGAAAUGUCACAUGUGGCUGAUAGGGGUCUAAUGCCUGAGAAAAUGGCACAACGUAUUAUAGAUUGGUUAGAUGAGACCAAAACCCCCUUUUCCAAUGUGGCUUAUAUAAUCGUGUCCAUUGUGACUGCAGUCAUUCCUAUUAUUCUUUUUUUUCUUAUCUUGCUUUGUUGUACUCUGUGCUUACUUCAAUGUAUAAUCAGGCUGUUAAACAAUAUAUAUACAUGAUGUGCAUGUGCUGAAACUGCGACAAAAACAAAAAGGGGAAUUGUUAGGGAUCUGUAGGACGUUUAUGAGACUUCACUGAUGGGCGGAGGCCCCUCUCGGGUGUUAGUACAUAAGCAGAAUAGCCUGGCUCGGUUCUCCGUCCACGGACCUUGCACCUCCCAGUCAGCAAAACUCUGAUGCUAGGCAAGCUCAAAGUAUUCAACAAUGUUGCUAGCUCAAGCACAGUUAGCACAAAGAUAUAUCGAGUAUUGCUAACUUAUGUACCAAGUAUUGGGACAUUCCGGGAACAAAAAGUACGUGGUGUUUUUACAGGAACAGCAUGGGAGAAGGACAGUCAAGAUAAAGAAAUGUACUUGUUGAUACUUUGAUUGGUAUUCACAUGAGAAAAAUUCUCAGUGUUGCCUAUUGGUAAAGAUACGUAAACGUUGUUGCUUUGUCCGCUGUUACAUUGGGGUAUGUUCCCAUAAGUCAAAGAUAUAAAACGCUGUCCUGUGCCUUGAAUAAACGGAGCCUCACCA